UGAUUUAUUAGUGCUCUCGAUCGUCAUCUAUUGAUUGAUUAGUGCUAAUUCCCGAGGAAGUUAUGAUAAGAGGGGGGCUUUGGAUAAUCUAAAAGUAUAAUUGUGAUGUCCGCCAUCUUCUUCUACACUAGAAAAGUUUGGAAGAUGGAGGAAGAUGUGAUAAUUGGCUGGGGUGAUGAUGUUGUGGGGGUGCAGAUAUUUUUAGGAUUUUAGUAUUUACUAAUUGAAAAUAAAGCUCUGGACAUAUUCAACAUAGGUUUAUGUCACAGCCAUGAUAUUUGUGUUGGUCCAUAUUGUUCUUGUAAUCUAGUCUUUGAACUUGUGCUUUGGUGAUUAAUUAAUCUAAUGAAAGGUUUGUGUACAAUGUUUUGUUUCUCAAGCACACUCGUAGGCCUGGUAGUUUCUGCUUGAGGUUAUAACAGAGUGAAGUGUCUAGAAGCUAAUACGUCCAUAAUCAGUUUUAAGUUUUUAUGCUGGAGGUUUCACAAGAUUGUAACAUGUAGUAGCCCAUUACUCAAUUCAUAGAACAUACUGAGCAUUGCUGAGUUUUGUGAACAUUUUUUGGAUUAUCUGUACAAGUAUCUUGCUAGUUGUGGAUAACUGAUUAGGUUACUGGGAAUCAAUGUAGGGAUUAAAAAAGUUUGUAGUGCAUUUGGUAAUUGAGUCUAAGCCUUAUGUGUCUGAAGAUUUGAGCAAAAGUUGCUGUGGUUUCUACAUGAGCCUACUAUGAUUGGUGCUAAAAGCCUAAAACCAUUAGUAAGUGGAAUAUGCUUGGGGAACUUACUAUGUGUUGUCUGUCAUCCAUAACUUAUUGUAGAUCAUUCAGUUACUUAUAAGUUAUAUGCUUUAUUUUCUGAAACGUCUACAUAUAGAAUGCAUUGCAUUGGUGUGAAAUGGUUGUUUCAAUAUUGAUGGAACAUGAUUCCACAUUCAUUUUCUUUUUAAAAAGUUCAAGCAUUUUGCAGUCAUUACAGACAUGAGAGCCUUCGAAUUGGUAGAGAUCACGCCCAUUUUCAACCCUUUUUGGGAUGACAAUAAUGCACACUUUUCAUAAGAACAUGAGGGGAUUCAUUUAUUGAGAGCUAAGAUUCAUGUGUGAUGCGUAAGAUUUAUUGUUCAGGCACGCAUGCAUGCACUAUGCCACCCACCUUUAUUACUUGCACGCACACAAAUAAUUGGUAGUGAAUGAGGACGUGACCUACAGCUAUGUUGAAUUUCCUAGGCAAAUUAGUGAGUCUUGUGAAAACUGUAAUGUACACGAUUGAUGGUUGGUCAGGAGUUCAACCAAGCUGAAAGAUUUUCAUAAGAAAAGUAGUGUCUUGAGGGAGAGGUUUUCUUUCCUCUGUAAAAAGGAACUCCCAACAGGAACUAUAUAUUUAUACAAAAAUCAAAUAUGGAAUUUUUUCGAUGCUUCAAAAUAGGGGCAUCUUUUUUCUGUAUUGUUAUAGCUGUUGAUGAGAUGAUGGGGCUUGUUGCAACGAAUCAAACCAGCCCAAGAUCAAAGCAAUUGGAUGUCGUAGUUGAAGAUGCAUUGAUAAUGCUCUUGUUUAACCCAGACAAGGGAUUUGCGGAAGGCUGCCUUGCUGGGUUAUGAGCCCUUUGUUUUACUAAAACCUUUAUUAACUGAGCCGUCAAAACUCUCAGGGUGGUAUAAGUUGCAUUGCAUUAUGUUUCUUAAAGAGAUUCAUCUCUAAAAGUAUAAUGCAUUGAUCUAUUGUUAUUUAUUUGCUAGCUUUUGCGCGUAAGAAUGAUUUUGUAGUUUUAUGUUUUUGUAUUUAUUUAACCAGGAUUCCAGUCACAAAAGUGAUUCUUUUUUCUUCG